GGCUGGGGGUCGAAUCGGAGCUGUUACCUCCGGCCUACACCAGAGCCACAGCAACUCGGGAUCCGAGCUGUGUCUGUGACCUACACCACAGCUCACGGCAACACCAGAUCCUUCACCCACGGAGCAAGGCCAGGGAUCGAACCCGCAACCUCGUGGUUCCUAGUCGGAUUCAUUAACCACUGAGCCAGAUGGGAACUCCUGAAGGGAGUUCUCUUACAGCACAGCAGGUUAAGGAUCUGGUGUUGUCACUGCAGCAGCUUGCGUCACUGCUAUGGCACAGGUUCCAUCUGUAGCCCAGGAACUUCCAUAUACUAUGGGAGCGGCCAAAAAGAAAAAAAAAGAGCGAGUAUCUGUAGGAUAAAUUUCUAGAUAUGGACUGAAAGGGGUAUGUGCACUUGUAGUUUUGAUAACCUGGCUUUUGGCCACAGCGGUUCCCCCCCAGCAUGGCGGGGAGUGGUGUAGAACCCAAGGCAGACGUGCCCUUGAGAGCACGUGGAGAAGCUGGCUGGAGGCUCCUCUACCCUCGAGAAAUGACAACUGUCUCCACUGUCCCAUGAAAGGACCUCAGAGGAAGACCCAGCAGCCUGGCCCAGCGGGGGCACAGGCUUCGAAACAGGCACUGAACAGGAUCCUGCUUCUGAAUCUGACGGCUUUGAUGAGAUGGCUCCAGGAAAAGCUGGCCCCUCCAUCAAGGCCACACAGCCCCCAGAAGUGACUUAGAUGGGGUCCAGGUUUCACUGGCCUUCACAGCUGGUACAUACGCGAUUCUCAGGUUGGGCACGACCAACAGAUCAAACAGUAGGUGUGAGUGAAUUUGUUUGUUUGUUUGUUUUGCUUUUUAGGGCUGCAUUCGCAGAAUAUGGAGAUUCCCAGGCUGGGGUCCAGUCAGCGCUACAGCUGCUGGCCUCCACCACAGCCACGCCACGCAGGAUCUGAGCCACAUCUGCGACACCACAGUUCACAGCAACAACGGAUCCUUAACCCGCUGAGCAAGGCCAGAGAUCAAACCCGCAACCUCCUGGUUCCUAGUCGGAUUUGUUUCCGCUGUGACAUGGGAACUCCUCCCCUCCUCCUCCUCAAAUGCUGAGCUGAAGGACCAUUUUGAGGAAGUCUGAGUUCUCAGGGAAUGAAGUCACACCCGUCCUGGGGCUGCGUUUGGCGUCCUCGCCCUCUCCCGCGACAGUGAGCUCCUGAAACUUAGGGACUAGGGCUUCUGAUUUGCUUCGGCCUGACUCGCACGAAGCUGCUCUUUUCCAGUUUAGGACGCAGGUGGAUGAACUGGAGACUUACCUGCAGAGAAAACUAGUAGUCCUGUUGGGUGCUCGAGGCGGUGUUGACCCAGAUGUGCUUCCAACUGGCCCCCCUGUGCGUUCCGUUUACUUUUUUUUGGCCACAUCCUUGACAUGCGGAAAUUCCCGGGCCGGAGAUGGAGCCCUCACGCUGCGGUGACAGUGCCGGAUCCUUACCCGCUAGGCCACCAGGAAACUCCCCAUCUACUUCUAGAUUAAUUCAGAAACGUCUUCCUUUUCCUGUUUGCUUGAAUUUCUUGCUAAAUUCACUCCUCAAGCCCUCACACUACUAGCGAGUUAGUCGGAGUCUGAGGGUGGAUAAUGAUGGCCAUGCCUGGGUUAACAGAGAAUGAGUCUGCGUGCCCCUCGCUGAUGGGUGUGGCAUGGUGGUUACUGUGGCAGCUGGGGGUGCCAGGGAGAACUACACAAGGACAGAGGGAAGCAGGGAAUGUGGGGACCGAGUCAGGGUGCGCCACCCCGUACCCUCCUGCUUCCACCUUGAGAGGUCUUCUUUGACAUCUCAGCACAUCCCACCAGCCACUGCCACUCGAGAAGCUCUCGGGAACCCCCCGGGCACCACUCUCUGGCGACUCUCCUGCCACUCUGCCACUCCCCCUCUUCUUGGCUGGUCUCCCACCUUCCCUAGAGAGAGUUUUCCAGGCUCCCUCUUUGGUCCUGCUUUGCCCUCCUCUCCCUGGCUCUCCUCUCUCAGAGAACUCAUCCAAGCUCGUACGGGUGUCACUUCCAGGCAGGUGACUCCCCUCUGUCCCCUGGAGUCCACCCUCUCCUCUGCCCUUGCUCUAGGCUUCCGUAGCCUGCUAGCUGUUUCCACUGGAGGUCCUGUCAUUGUCAUCGUUUCAAACUGAACAUGCAGGAAAUCGAGCCUGUCUUCCCCUCCUAGUUGCCAUCUUUUCUGCUCACGUCGCCACCAUCCCCUCACUCAUCCAAGCUCAGAACCUGAGUCGCAUUUGAUGGUUGCUGCCCAUCCUUCCCAAAUGCAAGUCUCGGCCAAGUUCCUUUGCAGCCUCUCUUAUAGCUUCUUGUCCUUUGCAUUGUCUGCUAAUCUGGAGCCUCAGCACCCAUGUUUUGAAUAGUUCAUGGCUUCCUGCCUGCACUUUCUUCCUCAUUUGGUCUUUCAAACCUGGUCAGACAGAUUCUCCAGAAUAAUUGUUUUUGUCCUGUCCCUCUCCAAAAACGUUCAGGCUCUCUCAUCUCCAUAGAUGGGUCCAAGCUCCUUCGCCUCAGGUUCAAGAACCUGUGUUUGGGAGUUCCUGCUGUGGCGCAACAGGAUCAGCGGUGGAUUGGGAGUGCUGGGACGUAGGUUCAAUCCCCGGCCUGGCAUGGUGGGUUAAAGAUCCAGCGUUGCUGCAGCUGCGGCUUUGGUUGCAGCUGUGGCUGGGAUCGGAUCCCUGGCCUGGGAGCUCCAUAUGCCGCAGGUUGGCCAAAAAAGGAAAAAAAAAAAAGAACCUGUGUUUGCCCACUGACCUCGCUAGUGUUACUCCAGGCGAUGUGAGUGCAGGCACAGGAGCAAGGCUCUGGGAUCAAACCCCAUUCCCGACAUUCACACGCUGUGUCUUCCUGGGCAAGUACUUAACCUCUCGGUGCCUGAAUUUCCUCUUUUUAAAAAUUUUUAUUUUUUUUGCUUUUUAGGGCUGAAUCCACAGCAUGUGGAGGUUCCCAGGCUAGGGGUCUAAUCGGAGCUAUAGCUGCCGGCCUACACCACAGCCACAGCAACUCCAGAUCUGAGCUGUGUCUGUGACCAACACCACAGCUCACGGCCACGUGGGAUCCUUAACCCACUGAGCAAGGCCAGGGGUUGAACCCGCAACCCUACGGUUCCUAGUUGGAUUCGUUUCCGUUGCGUGACGAUGAAAUUUCCUCUUUAAACUGCUUUAUCAAACGUUUAUCCUCAGGCCUAGGAUUGCACCCAGGACAGGGCUGGUACCCAGCAAACACUGAAAUGCUAGCUUUGGGUUGUGCUGAUUUUCCUAGGGCGAGGGGGGUGUCUGCACAGCCUCCCUGGCGCACACCCGCCCCUCCUCACCAUCUUUGCUCAGCCCAGUCCCUCAGUCUAGAAUGUUCUUCUCUGCCUGCUGACUCUUAGUCACCCUUCAAGGGCCACUGAGCUCCCAUUUCCUCCCAGUACACCCCUGUUUGCCACUUUCUGCAGGGCUGCUCAGCCUGGGCAGGGGGUAGUGGGCGUGUUGCGGUGUCUGAAGCCAGCCACAGGCCACAGCACGUCUUCCUGGGGUUCAUUUUACUUGAUAAGUAAGUUCAGCUGUUUACACAUUACAGCAGCUACUCCAGACAUGUCAUGAAGCAGAGUGCAAAACUGGCCCAAGAUAAAACCCACAACUACUAAGAAUAUUCAGAGUGGUGGUGUCUUGGGCCACCCCUGGCCCCAGUGUUGAGUCUGCAUUCACCGAGUGGUGGAAGGGCCUGGGAAGCCGGGCGUGGUGCCGGGCGGCAGGGGUCAGGCAGGUGCAGCAGGUGCAGCAGGCCUGUGCUUAGGCUGUUGCCAUGAGGGGCUGUUAACACGUAAUCUCUCUCUUGCUGGAGAAUUUGCUGUUUACACUGGCCUGCUUGCGCCAGGGUAGCUCUUGUGUUACACUGGUGUUUUUAUGUUUGGUUUUGGUUGCGCCCUCGGCAUGAGGAAGUUGCAGGCCAGUGAUCGAACCCAAGCCACAGCUGUGACCACCAGGAAACUCCUGUGUUACACUGUUUUUAACUUUCCCCAGGGGUAGGUCUUCUCUCUUGUUGCCAUUCUUUACACCUGCAGCGUGCAGGUGUGGGGUCCCACGCCCUGGGAAGACAGACCUCUGUGGGGCUUGAUGAAGCAAGUCGCCCCUCCUCUCAGCCCCGGUUUCCUUAUCUGUGACAGUGCGAAGUACUCACCCAUAGAGGUUGUCCUGGGCAGACACCUGGACAACGCGAGGCACGGCCAAUGGCACAGGUUGGUGCUCAGUAAACACGAGCUCCCUCGCUGCCGUACCAAGCUGUCGGCAGACACCUGAUUCUCGAAUAGUCCCUCUCCUGGCCACUGCCCCCUGCCAGCGUCCACUCCACAUCCUCUGCCUCCCUUCCUGUCCCAGUGGAUGCGCCCAUCUAAGGCCACACUUCUCCUUGUGUAGUAGUCCUGGCCCUUCUCAGCUUCACAAGGACUUCACGUGCACCUGCCCGUCUCCCUUGGCCUUAGGGCCCCUCCCUAUUGGCUCACUCUUCACCAGGUAAUUAUGCUGUAAUAACACUCCAUGUAAAACAAAAGAUGACACAGAACAAAUAAAAACAUUCCUCGAUCCC
rnacentral:lncRNA from 1 species